rnacentral:rRNA from 1 species
AGAAUCAACGCUGGCGGCGUGCCUAACACAUGCAAGUCGAACGAGAAAGUGGAGCAAUCCAUGAGUACAGUGGCGACCGGGUGAGUAACACGUGACUACCUACCCUUGAGUGGGGAUAACCUCGGGAACCGAGGCUAAUACCGCAUAAUAUCGAGAGAUCAAAGGAGCAAUUCGCUUUGGAGGGGUCGCGGCUGAUUAGCUAGUUGGCGGGUAAUGGCCCACCAAGGCGAAGAUCGGUA